rnacentral:rRNA from 1 species
GCCAGACUCCUACGGGAGGCAGCAGUGAGGAAUAUUGGUCAAUGGUCGGGAGACUGAACCAGCCAAGCCGCGUGAGGGAGGAAGGUACAGAGUAUCGUAAACCUCUUUUGUCAGGGAACAAAGACUGGGACGCGUCCCCGGAUGAGUGUACCUGAAGAAAAAGCAUCGGCUAACUCCGUGCCAGCAGCCGCGGUAAUACGGAGGAUGCGAGCGUUAUCCGGAUUUAUUGGGUUUAAAGGGUGCGCAGGCGGGCUGUUAAGCCCGCGGUAAGAGCGCGGGGCGCAACCCCGCUCCGCCGUUGAAACUGUGUCCCUUGAGUGCGCGAAGGGUAGGCGGAAUGCGUGGUGUAGCGGUGAAAUGCAUAGAUAUCACGCAGAACUCCGAUCGCGAAGGCAGCCUACCGGCGCGCAACUGACGCUCAUGCACGAAAGCGUGGGGAUCGAACAGGAUUAGAUACCCUAGUAAAC